rnacentral:rRNA from 1 species
AACGAACGCUGGCGGCAUGCUUAACACAUGCAAGUCGAACGAAGCCUUCGGGCUUAGUGGCGCACGGGUGCGUAACGCGUGGGAAUCUGCCCUUUGGUUCGGAAUAACAGUUGGAAACGACUGCUAAUACCGGAUGAUGACGAAAGUCCAAAGAUUUAUCGCCAGAGGAUGAGCCCGCGUAGGAUUAGCUAGUUGGUGUGGUAAAGGCGCACCAAGGCGACGAUCCUUAGCUGGUCUGAGAGGAUGAUCAGCCACACUGGGACUGAGACGCGGCCCAGACUCCUACGGGAGGCAGCAGUGGGGAAUAUUGGACAAUGGGCGAAAGCCUGAUCCAGCAAUGCCGCGUGAGUGAUGAAGGCCCUAGGGUUGUAAAGCUCUUUUACCCGGGAUGAUAAUGACAGUACCGGGAGAAUAAGCCCCGGCUAACUCCGUGCCAGCAGCCGCGGUAA